UACGGGAGGCAGCAGGGGGAAUAUUGCACAAUGGGCGCAAGCCUGAUGCAGCCAUGCCGCGUGUAUGAAGAAGGCCUUCGGGUUGUAAAGUACUUUCAGUCGUGAGGAAGGUGUUAAGGUUAAUAACCUUAGCAAUUGACGUUAGCGACAGAAGAAGCACCGGCUAACUCCGUGCCAGCAGCCGCGGUAAUACGGAGGGUGCGAGCGUUAAUCGGAAUUACUGGGCGUAAAGGGCACGCAGGCGGUUAAUUAAGUUGGAUGUGAAAUCCCCGGGCUUAACCUGGGAAUGGCAUUCAAGACUGGUUAGCUAGAGUCUUGUAGAGGGGGUAGAAUUCCAUGUGUAGCGGUGAAAUGCGUAGAGAUGUGGAGGAAUACCGGUGGCGAAGGCGGGCCCCUGGACAAAGACUGACGCUCAUGUGCGAAAGCGUGGGGAGCAAACAGGGAUUAGAUACC
rnacentral:rRNA from 1 species